UGGAACGACAUUAGGGUGAGUAAUUAAUGACAUUAUUUACAUUUUUGGGUGAACUAACCCUUUAAGUAAAGCUGACAAAAUUUCUUUGAGUAAAUACAAAUCAUUUGAAUGUCACUGUCACAUAAUAUUUAUAAAUGCAGUUUACUUAAUAAUGUUAUGUUUAUUACGUAAGGUGAACACAUUUAUUGACUUAAUUUACUUUAUUAAAUGAACUAUUUUCUCUACAAAAUGCACUCAAAAAAUAACUCAUUGAACAAACUCAACUGAAUUGAGAGCAGAAAUUUCAUCCUAAACAUCUGUAUAUGAGUGUGCACAGCCUAAACACAGGCGACACUCUUCUGCAUAAUGGUAACCAUUAUAAAAUUAAAAUGUCCAACAUAACUGAACAUUAAACACUAACAUAAACUAACAACAUAUUUCCCUUUACUGAAAAACACAUAAAAUAACACUUUAAUCCCUAAAUUUACUCUCCUGAUGCAAAGCAUGCUGGGAACUACGGAUCCACUGCCCAGUUAGUUAUGUCAACAUUAAUUUGUGCGUUUCACUCAGCAAUGUUAAGUUGACUGAACAAACACUUACUAAGUAAAGCUGACAAUACUAAUUUUUAGUAGAAACAAUGCAGUUAAAUUACGUUCAUGUAGAUACAUGAGUUUUUUAAGUAAUGUGAACAAGGGUGGUUUGAGUGAAACUAACAACAGUGAAAGUUCAUUUUUUUGAGUGUGUGAUGCAACGUGUUGUUCACGUUUUAGGUCAUUGUUUUAUUAUGAGUGUUUUCUGGGUGAAAUCUUUGCUAGUGUUAGUUGAUUUGAGACGUUUUUUGAUAGUUUUAGUGCAUUUUGAAUGUGAAAUUAACUGAUGUGCCAAGAUGAAAGUUGGUUAGGAGAACUGUGUGAAGCGUUUUGAAAAAGUAAAUUAAGUACUGACAAAUGUGUCCUAGCGAUUGUAAAGAAAAACUGUUAUAAUAAUAAUCACAGAAAAUACACAAGAAAGAAACUCAUCGCUUUAGAUAACGACGAGAAACGACAAAAGGAAUGAACAAAACAGGAUGUAUACUUAUACACCGAGAACUUAACUAGAUACAUGUGGGAUUCACUAGUGAUUGGUGACAAACAAGGAAACAUAGGAACAUAAACACAAACACGAUGAUAAAUAAAUAUAUCAAAUGACAGAAUAAAAAGCUGGAAUUGAAUAAACUUGAACAAAAAGUAUAUGUGACCUAAUGAAAGUAAAAGGAAUGUAUUGGAAUAAAUGCAAGUUUUUUUAUGCUAAAACUGCCUAUUUGAAUGUGAUUCAUUUGUUGUCCAUUUCCUCUUUUUAGUUUCUCCUGACCACACCCUCCGUCCCUCUGUUCUUCCUUUCUCUUCUCCUGCCUAAACAUUUGUAUUUGACAAUAAUGUUGUUACAUACAAAACCUGACACUUUGAGCUUUGUGUUUUGAGGUUUGUUUACUGAGAACUGAGGUUCAGUUUGAGAGUCAUGUGACCAACCCCUUCUGGAAAACACAAACGUGGAUUCAAUUUCAUCCUAACAAAACAAGUUCCCGCCUUCUUCCCUUUUUCUUGUGAUGAGAAGAUCAAGGGAGAGGCAGAAAUGUCAGCGGUCAGAGACAUGUAUGAAGGACUGGAUGUUAGAAACAUGACUGAAUCGGAACAAAGGAGACACAGAAACAUCCAGCUGAACCAACAUCCAGAUGUUCUCUUCAGAAUUUAUAGACGAGGCCGUCUGCAUGUUCUGCUCUUCAGACCCACCGAUGGCCUCCAGUGGAUGAGAUUAUUCAGAGACGGAGAUGAACGCCUCUUCGCUCAGUGGACUAUCAGACAUCGGCAGAUUCGGGAUGUGAUCAGUGUCUCUGGACAGCUGGAGGAAUUGGAACAAUUCUGUGACAGAUUUAUGCAACAUCUGCAGGGGUUUCAAGACAAUGAUGAUGAGAUUGAAGAGCUGAGAGCAAGAAUACAAGAACUCGAAUUAGAAAACAGAAGACUUAGAGAACAAUGACCGCUGCCAAAGAUAUGAGAGAGCAUGUUAACAGGCCAAGAUGAAUCCUGGACCAGUCCUGCAUCAUUUCAGCGUUUUCAAUAACAACCCGUGUGUUCUACUGUAAGAAAGCAAACAUACAUUGUUGUUUUAUUUCUUUGUUUUUAUGUUUAAUUUCAUAAUCAUUAGUCAUUUAUAAGUUGUCAUUUUAUUUAUCAUUUAUUCAUAUUAUUAUUAUAUGAUUUACAUCAUUUAUUCAUUUUAUCAUUUUGUUGUUAUUAUUAUUAUUAUUCAUGUCAUUUUAUGUUUUUAUAUUUUAUUUGACUUAUUUCCCUGCUCUUGCAGUGCUUGCUAUAGUUGUUUAAUCUUCUGAUUGUGUGGUUUGAAGGGAUGUUUGUCUUCACGAGAGAAUGUCUGCAUUUCAAGGUUUUUAACGUCAUAGGACGAUGUUGUGAAACAGUAUUUUCCACUGCUUUUCCCUUGGUAUAACAACACUUGUUGGAAUUGUACUGGUCAGAUGAAGUCAGCGCAUUGAGAAGUGUAAUAUGCAACUAAGAUUAAUCAAUAAACUCUGCACGUUUUUAUCAUUA